rnacentral:rRNA from 1 species
UACGGAGGAUGCGAGCGUUAUCCGGAUUUAUUGGGUUUAAAGGGUGCGUAGGCGGAAGUUCAAGUCAGCGGUAAAAUCGAGGGGCUCAACCCCUUUAAGCCGUUGAAACUGGGUUUCUUGAGUGGGCGAGAAGUGUGCGGAAUGUGUGGUGUAGCGGUGAAAUGCAUAGAUAUCACACAGAACUCCGAUUGCGAAGGCAGCACACCGGCGCCCGACUGACGCUGAGGCACGAAAGCGUGGGGAUCAAACAGG